GCAGAGAGAGGGUCGGGGGAGAGAGAACGGAGGGAGGGCAGAAGGAAAAGGCUGAGGAAAACAACACCAAGGACAACAGCAGGGGUCACCAGAGUCACGUUUCUUCAGCUGUUGGUGCUUCUCUGUCAAGAGAUAAGUGUCAUUUUUUGUAUUAAUGUAACUGAAGAAUAAUUUAAGCUAAACUAACAAACACUAAACA